rnacentral:rRNA from 1 species
AUGAAACCUUUAUGCAGGCUAGCGGAGGAGCCGAUUCAGUUGGUGUCAGAACUGCUAGAUGAUGAUUCAGGAGGGUGGGACGGAGUUAAAGUUCGUACACUGUUUAUAAGACCGGAUGCAGAUGCAAAUUUGAAAAUACCGAGGCCAAGAGUGCAGAUUGAAGACUUUUGGGCCUGGGCCUGGGAGCACACGGGUGUUUUCUCGGAUUUUUUUGGCCUUACAUUGCCGAGACUGCACCCAUUGACAUGGUCUAAGGAUAUACUGGACCAUGAGGUGAUUAAAAGGAAGGAUGCAUCAGUUCUGGUGUCAGUCAUGUGGGCAAUUUGGACGAACCGUAACAAGUAUACGCAUAAUGAGAUUCAGUACCAGCCGAUCAAAUCAAUGGAAUUAAUUAGAGAACUCAUUAUGGCGAUUGAUGUCCCUAAUACCACUGUUGUCAAAUCCACAGAAAGGCAGAAGUGGGAGGCGCCAACUCAGGGGUGGGUGAAGAUGAAUACUGAUGGAGCAGUAUAUGAGACUAAUACGUGCUCAGGAGUGGGCAUAGUAGUAAGGGAUCAACAGGGUGUAUUCAGACUGGGGCAGUGCAUCAAAUACACGGCACCACUUGAUCCUUUCUCUAUAGAGCUUAUUGCAUGCAGAGAUGCAAUGCUGUUGGCUAGUGCUAAUGACCUGCAAUAUGUCAUCAUUGAGACAGAUUGUCAGGCCGUGUUUGAAGCAUGGAAGCAAGACGAUGAUCGAUCCACUGGUGGUACGAUCUUGAGGGAGAUGCGCACCUAUCUCCCAAGUUUUCAGGGAUUUGAACUGCGAUGGACGGCAAGGGAAGCUAAUUCAGCUGCCCACCUGACAGCUAAGCAGGCUUUAUAUUUAGAUACUAUGUCUAUCUCGUUUCAUGUAAUUCCUGAGUUUCUGGUCGAGGCUGUUCGAUCAGAUAUGUCCCGCCUAAAUGAAUAA